rnacentral:rRNA from 1 species
CGGAUGACUUGUGGCUGGGGGUGAAAGGCCAAUCAAACCGGGAGAUAGCUGGUUCUCCCCGAAAGCUAUUUAGGUAGCGCCUCGUGAAUUCAUCUCCGGGGGUAGAGCACUGUUUCGGCAAGGGGGUCAUCCCGACUUACCAACCCGAUGCAAACUGCGAAUACCGGAGAAUGUUAUCACGGGAGACACACGGCGGGUGCUAACGUCCGUCGUGAAGAGGGAAACAACCCAGACCGCCAGCUAAGGUCCCAAAGUCAUGGUUAAGUGGGAAACGAUGUGGGAAGGCCCAGACAGCCAGGAUGUUGGCUUAGAAGCAGCCAUCAUUUAAAGAAAGCGUAAUAGCUCACUGGUCGAGUCGGCCUGCGCGGAAGAUGUAACGGGGCUAAACCAU